GAUGAACGCUAGCUACAGGCUUAACACAUGCAAGUCGCGGGGCAGCAUGGGGGUUGCUUGCAACUCCCGAUGGCGACCGGCGCACGGGUGAGUAACGCGUAUCCAACCUGCCCUUCACCACGGGAUAACCCGGCGAAAGUCGGACUAAUACCGUAUGUUGUCCAUUGACGGCAUCCGAUUUGGACGAAAGGCUUUGCGGUGAAGGAUGGGGAUGCGUCCGAUUAGCCAGACGGCGGGGUAACGGCCCACCGUGGCGACGAUCGGUAGGGGUUCUGAGAGGAAGGUCCCCCACACUGGAACUGAGACACGGUCCAGACUCCUACGGGAGGCAGCAGUGAGGAAUAUUGGUCAAUGGGCGUAAGCCUGAACCGGCCAAGUAGCGUGCAGGAUGACGGCCCUAUGGGUUGUAAACUGCUUUUAUGCGGGGAUAAAGUGGCCCACGUGUGGGCUUUUGCAGGUACCGCAUGAAUAAGGACCGGCUAAUUCCGUG
rnacentral:rRNA from 1 species